UACGGAGGGUGCAAGCGUUAUCCGGAAUCAUUGGGUUUAAAGGGUCCGCAGGCGGACAUAUAAGUCAGUGGUGAAAGCCCAUCGCUUAACGAUGGAACUGCCAUUGAUACUGUAUGUCUUGAAUUCGGUCGAAGUGGGCGGAAUAUGUCAUGUAGCGGUGAAAUGCUUAGAUAUGACAUAGAACACCGAUAGCGAAGGCA
rnacentral:rRNA from 1 species